rnacentral:rRNA from 2 species
UGCAUGGCUGUCGUCAGCUCGUGUUGUGAAAUGUUGGGUUAAGUCCCGCAACGAGCGCAACCCUUAUCCUUUGUUGCCAGCGAUUAGGUCGGGAACUCAAAGGAGACUGCCAGUGAUAAACUGGAGGAAGGUGGGGAUGACGUCAAGUCAUCAUGGCCCUUACGACCAGGGCUACACACGUGCUACAAUGGCGCAUACAAAGAGAAGCGACCUCGCGAGAGCAAGCGGACCUCAUAAAGUGCGUCGUAGUCCGGAUUGGAGUCUGCAACUCGACUCCAUGAAGUCGGAAUCGCUAGUAAUCGUGGAUCAGAAUGCCACGGUGAAUACGUUCCCGGGCCUUGUACACACCGCCCGUCACACCAUGGGAGUGGGUUGCAAAAGAAGUAGGUAGCUUAACCUUCGGGAGGGCGCUUACCACUUUGUGAUUCAUGACUGGGGUGAAGUCGUAACAAGGUAACCGUAGGGGAACCUGCGGUUGGA